AUGAGGGCGGCGGCGCUCGGCAUUGUGGCCAUGGCCUGCCUCGUGGCGGUGGCGCGGGGCGGCAACUUCAUCCAGGACUCCGAGAUGACCUGGGGGGACGGCCGCGGGAAGGUCGUCGACGGCGGCCGCGGGCUCGACCUCACGCUCGACAAGACCUCCGGCUCCGGCUUCCAGUCCAAGAGCGAGUACCUGUUCGGCAAGAUUGACAUGCAGAUCAAGCUCGUCCCCGGCAACUCCGCCGGCACCGUCACCACCUUCUACCUGUCGUCGCAGGGGACGGCGCACGACGAGAUCGACUUCGAGUUCCUGGGCAACGUGACCGGCGAGCCUUACACGCUGCACACCAACGUGUUCGCGCAGGGGCAGGGGCAGCGGGAGCAGCAGUUCCGCCUCUGGUUCGACCCCACCAAGGCCUUCCACACCUACUCCAUCAUCUGGAACCCGCAGCACGUCAUAUUCGCGGUGGACGGCACGGCGAUCAGGGACUUCAAGAACCACGAGGCGCGCGGCGUGUCGUUCCCCAAGAGCCAGCCGAUGCGGCUGUACGCGAGCCUGUGGAACGCCGACGACUGGGCCACGCAGGGCGGCCGGGUCAAGACCGACUGGAGCAAGGCGCCGUUCGUCGCCUCCUUCCGCAACUUCAACGCCGACGCCUGCGUCAUGUCGGGCGGCGCGCAGCGCUGCCCCGCGGGCACCAUGGAGGCCUCGGCCGCCGGCGCCAACGGCAGCGGCAGCUGGUGGAACCAGGAGCUGAGCGGCAUGGGGUACCGGCGCAUGCGGUGGGUGCAGAGGAAGUUCAUGAUCUACAACUACUGCACCGACCCCAAGCGGGUGGCGCAGGGCGUGCCCGCCGAGUGCAAGCUCCGCUGA
rnacentral:rRNA from 1 species